rnacentral:rRNA from 1 species
UACGUAGGGGGCAAGCGUUGUCCGGAUUUAUUGGGCGUAAAGAGCGUGUAGGCGGCCAUGUAGGUCCGUUGUGAAAACUCGAGGCUCAACCUCGAGACGCCGAUGGAAACCAUAUGGCUAGAGUCCGGAAGAGGAGAGUGGAAUUCCCAGUGUAGAGGUGAAAUUCGUAGAUAUUGGGAAGAACACCGGUGGCGAAGGCGGCGACCUGGUCCUUGACUGACGCUGAGGCGCGAAAGCGUGGGGAGCAAACAGG